UACGAAGGGGGGCUAGCGUUGUUCGGAUUUACUGGGCGUAAAGCGCACGUAGGCGGAUUGUUAAGUCAGGGGUGAAAUCCCGGAGCUCAACUCCGGAACUGCCUUUGAUACUGGCAAUCUUGAGGCUGGAAGAGGUUAGUGGAAUUCCCAGUGUAGCGGUGAAAUGCGUAGAUAUUGGGAGGAACACCAGUGGCGAAGGCGGCUACCUGGACCGGUUCUGACGCUGAUGCGCGAAAGCGUGGGGAGCAAACAGGG
rnacentral:rRNA from 1 species